CAAGGUUUCCGUAGGUGAACCUGCGAAAGGAUCCUUUCCCCGUAUCCAACAACCCUGAGAACCUUCAGCGUGUUCUUGCAGGACAUCAAAACAGCAACCCCGAGUAAAUCAGGCGCCAAAGAAUUACAGAUUUUGAUUUUGGGGAGUUCUGUGUGUACGUGGACGCUGCAAUUGAGCGCUAGAUAAAGCACCCUGGUGCCUAGAGCACUCCCCUGACUGAAAGCGGCAGGGAUCAAUGUUCAGGGUGGCGCAGUCAACGAUCGCUGUAGGCGAAAGCCCUACGUCAUCCCUAUGUACCCUCCGGGACUUGGCGAAAGCUGAUUCCGUCAUAAAUCGAACAACUGUUAACAAUGGAUAUCUUGGUUCUC
rnacentral:misc_RNA from 1 species